rnacentral:rRNA from 1 species
GACGAACGCUGGCGGCGUGCCUAAUACAUGCAAGUCGACCUUAGUGGCGAACGGGUGAGUAACACGUGGGUAACCUGCCCAUCAGAAGGGGAUAACACUUGGCAACAGGUGCUAAUACCGUAUACUGAUGGAUGGACCAGCGGUGGAUUCGCUAGUUGGUGAGGUAACGGCUAACCAAGGCCACGAUGCAUAGGCGAAGUGAGAGGUUGAUAGGCCACAUUGGGACGGAGACACGGCCCAAGCGCCUACGGGAGGAAGCAGUGGGGAAGUUUGGGCAAUGGGCGAAAGUCUGACCGAGCAAUGCCGCGUGAGUGAAGAAGGUUUUCGGAUCGUAAAACUCUGUUGGUAGAGAAGCGGGAUCUAACCAAGAAGCCACGGCUAACUACGUGCCAGCAGCCGCGGUAAUUC